GACGAACCGUGCGAACGUUGUUCGGAAUCACUGGGCUUAAAGGGCGCGUAGGCGGACUAUCAAGUCUGGGGUGAAAUCCCGCGGCUCAACCGUGGAACGGCCUCAGAUACUGACGGUCUCGAGGGAGGUAGGGGCAUGCGGAACUGUAGGUGGAGCGGUGAAAUGCGUUGAUAUCUACAGGAACUCCGGUGGCGAAAGCGGCGUGCUGGACCUCUUCUGACGCUGAGGCGCGAAAGCUAGGGGAGCAAACGGG
rnacentral:rRNA from 1 species